rnacentral:rRNA from 1 species
UACGUAGGGUGCAAGCGUUAAUCGGAAUUACUGGGCGUAAAGCGUGCGCAGGCGGUUAUAUAAGACAGUUGUGAAAUCCCCGGGCUCAACCUGGGAACUGCAUCUGUGACUGUAUAGCUAGAGUACGGUAGAGGGGGAUGGAAUUCCGCGUGUAGCAGUGAAAUGCGUAGAUAUGCGGAGGAACACCGAUGGCGAAGGCAAUCCCCUGGACCUGUACUGACGCUCAUGCACGAAAGCGUGGGAGCAAACAGG